rnacentral:rRNA from 1 species
CCUACGGGAGGCAGCAGUGGGGAAUAUUGGACAAUGGGGGGAACCCUGAUCCAGCCAUGCCGCGUGUGUGAAGAAGGCCUUAUGGUUGUAAAGCACUUUAAGCGAGGAGGAGGCUACUGAGACUAAUACUCUUGGAUAGUGGACGUUACUCGCAGAAUAAGCACCGGCUAACUCUGUGCCAGCAGCCGCGGUAAUACAGAGGGUGCGAGCGUUAAUCGGAUUUACUGGGCGUAAAGCGUGCGUAGGCGGCUUUUUAAGUCGGAUGUGAAAUCCCCGAGCUUAACUUGGGAAUUGCAUUCGAUACUGGGAAGCUAGAGUAUGGGAGAGGAUGGUAGAAUUCCAGGUGUAGCGGUGAAAUGCGUAGAGAUCUGGAGGAAUACCGAUGGCGAAGGCAGCCAUCUGGCCUAAUACUGACGCUGAGGUACGAAAGCAUGGGGAGCAAACAGGAUUAGAUACCCCAGUAGUC